rnacentral:rRNA from 1 species
AUUGAACGCUGGCGGCAGGCCUAACACAUGCAAGUCGAGCGAGCGUCGGAAGCGUGUGUAUUGUCCGGGAAACUGCUGGCCGGAGGGGGAUAACAACUGGAAAAGGUAGGUAAUAACGCAUAUCUUCAGAUUUGCCAAGGUGGGUGUAGCUAGUAGGUGGGGUAAUGGCUCACCUAGGCGACGGUCCCUAGCUGGUCUGCGAGAAUGACCAGCCACACGGGAACUGAGACACGGUGCAGACUCCUACGGGAGGCAGCAGUGGGGAAUAUUGCACAAUGGGCGCAAGCCUGAUGCAGCGAUGCCGCGUGGAUGAAGAGGGCCUUCGGGUUGUAAGGUACUUUCAGCGGGGAGGCGUUACCCGCAGAAGAAGCACCGGCUAACUCCGUGCCAGCAGCCGCGGUAAUUC